AUUGAACGCUGGCGGCAGGCCUAACACAUGCAAGUCGAGCGGAAACGAGUUAUCUGAACCUUCGGGGAACGAUAACGGCGUCGAGCGGCGGACGGGUGAGUAAUGCCUAGGAAAUUGCCCUGAUGUGGGGGAUAACCAUUGGAAACGAUGGCUAAUACCGCAUGAUGCUUACGGGCCAAAGAGGGGGACCUUCGGGCCUCUCGCGUCAGGAUAUGCCUAGGUGGGAUUAGCUAGUUGGUGAGGUAAGGGCUCACCAAGGCAACGAUCCCUAGCUGGUCUGAGAGGAUGAUCAGCCACACUGGAACUGAGACACGGUCCAGACUCCUACGGGAGGCAGCAGCGGGGAAUAUUGCACAAUGGGCGCAAGCCUGAUGCAGCCAUGCCGCGUGUAUGAAGAAGGCCUUCGGGUUGUAAAGUACUUUCAGUCGUGAGGAAGGCGUUGUCGUUAAUAGCGGCAUCGUUUGACGUUAGCGACAGAAGAAGCACCGGCUAACUCCGUGCCAGCAGCCGCGGUAAUACGGAGGGUGCGAGCGUUAAUCGGAAUUACUGGGCGUAAAGCGCAUGCAGGUGGUUUGUUAAGUCAGAUGUGAAAGCCCGGGGCUCAACCUCGGAAUAGCAUUUGAAACUGGCAGACUAGAGUACUGUAGAGGGGGGUAGAAUUUCAGGUGUAGCGGUGAAAUGCGUAGAGAUCUGAAGGAAUACCGGUGGCGAAGGCGGCCCCCUGGACAGAUACUGACACUCAGAUGCGAAAGCGUGGGGAGCAAACAGG
rnacentral:rRNA from 1 species